rnacentral:rRNA from 1 species
CAGCGGACGGCUGAGUAAUGCACAGGAACGUACCCGGAAGUGGGGGAUAGCCCUUCGAAAGAAGGGGUAAUACCGCAUGUACUCGCAAGAGUAAAGCCGCAAGGCGCUUCCAGAACGGCCUGUGUCCUAUCAGGUAGUUGGUGGGGUAAUGGCCUACCAAGCCUAUGACGGGUAGCUGGUCUGAGAGGAUGACCAGCCAGAUCGGGACUGAGACACGGCCCGA